GCGAAAGCCCCCUUCGGGGGGCAAGUAGAGUGGCGCACGGGUGAGUAACACGUAGGUAAUCUACCUUUGGAUGGGGAAUAACAACCGGAAACGGUUGCUAAUACCGCAUAAUGCAGUGGCACCUAAUGGUGACAGUUGUUAAAGCGGGGGAUCGAAAGACCUCGCGUCUAAAGAGGAGCCUGCGGCGGAUUAGCUAGUUGGUAAGGUAACGGCUUACCAAGGCGAUGAUCCGUAGCCGGCCUGAGAGGGCGGUCGGCCACACUGACACUGACACACGGGUCAGACUCCUACGGGAGGCAGCAGUCGGGAAUUUUGGGCAAUGGGCGAAAGCCUGACCCAGCAACGCCGCGUGAAGGAUGAAAUCCCUCGGGAUGUAAACUUCAUAAGAACGGGAAGAAUAAGUAAGGGUUAAUAUCCCUUACGAUGACGGUACCGUUAGUAAGCUCCGGCUAACUCCGUGCCAGCAGCCGCGGUAAUACGGGGGGAGCAAGCGUUGUUCGGAUUUACUGGGCGUAAAGGGCGCGUAGGCGGCCACCGCAAGUCGACUGUGAAAUCUCCGGGCUUAACCCGGAAAGGUCAGCCGAUACUGCGGGGCUAGAGUGCAGAAGGGGCAACUGGAAUUCUCGGUGUAGCGGUGAAAUGCGUAGAUAUCGAGAGGAACACCUGCGGCGAAGGCGGGUUGCUGGGCUGACACUGACGCUGAGGCGCGAAAGCUAGGGGAC
rnacentral:rRNA from 1 species